rnacentral:rRNA from 1 species
GAUGAACGCUGGCGGCGUGCCUAAUACAUGCAAGUCGAGCGAACGGACGAGAAGCUUGCUUCUCUGAUGUUAGCGGCGGACGGGUGAGUAACACGUGGAUAACCUACCUAUAAGACUGGGAUAACUUCGGGAAACCGUAGCUAAUACCGGAUAAUAUUUUGAACCGCAUGGUUCAAAAGUGAAAGACGGUCUUGCUGUCACUUAUAGAUGGAUCCGCGCUGCAUUAGCUAGUUGGUAAGGUAACGGCUUACCAAGGCAACGAUGCAUAGCCGACCUGAGAGGGUGAUCGCCCAACGGGGAACUGGGACCGGGUCCAGCUCCCUAGGGGAGGCAGCAGGAGGGAAUCUUCCGCAAUGGGCGAAAGCCUGACGGAGAAACGCCGGGGGGGUGAUGAAGGGUUUCGGAUCGUAAAACCCUUUUAUUGGGGAAAAAAAAAGGUGAAAGUAACUGUGAACAUCUGGACGGUACCAAAUCAAAAAACCACGGCUAACUACGU